rnacentral:rRNA from 1 species
AACGAACGCUGGCGGCACGCCUAACACAUGCAAGUCGAACGAAGUAGCAAUACUUAGUGGCAGACGGGUGAGUAACAUGUGGGUAUCUACCCUUUGGCCUGGAAUAACACGAGGAAACUUGUGCUAAUACCGGAUAAGUCUUUACGGAGAAAGCUUUAUGCACCAUUGGAUGAGCCCGCACUUGAUUAGCUUGUUGGUAGGGUAAUGGCCUACCAAGGCGACGAUCAGUAGCUGGUCUGAGAGGAUGAUCAGCCACACUGGGACUGAGACACGGCCCAGACUCCUACGGGAGGCAGCAGUGGGGAAUAUUGGACAAUGGGGGCAACCCUGAUCCAGCAAUGCCGCGUGUGUGAUGAAGGCCUUAGGGUUGUAAAGCACUUUCACUGGUGAAGAUGAUGACGGUAACCAGAGAAGAAGCCCCGGCUAACUUCGUGCCAGCAGCCGCGGUAAUACGAAGGGGGCGAGCGUUGUUCGGAAUUACUGGGCGUAAAGGGCGCGUAGGCGGUCUUUUAAGUUAGGCGUGAAAGCCCCGGGCUCAACCCGGGAACUGCGCUUAAGACUGGAAGACUAGAAAACGGAAGAGGGUAGUGGAAUUCCCAGUGUAGAGGUGAAAUUCGUA